GACUUGCAGUUUCCAAACCAGACAUGAUCUCCCAACUGGAGGAAGGAAAAGAACCUGGGAUGGUGGUGAGAUGGAUUUAAGGAAACUGACUGGAAGACCAAACCUGAAACCAAGCAUCCUGUUCCAACAGCAGAUAUUUCUGAAGAAGGAACAUGCAAGGGACCAUAAUGGAAAGACUAAUAAAAAAUGAUCCUCAGGAUCCUAGUUUAGGAGAAUCCAGGACAAGAUAUUACAGGUUAUUGAGACAAAAUUUUUGUGAUAAUUUGAAUAAAAGAAUAAUUACCCAAGGGGAAACUCUCACUGAAGAAAGUGACUUCUGGUUGAAGUCUACUCUCUUUAAAGAACAGAGAAGUCUUACAGAAGACAGUCAUCACAAAAGUAAUCUAGAUGGACAAAGUUGGAAAGAAAACUCAGAGCUGAUUAUUCAAUCAGGAACCUACUUGGGCAAGAAAAUUUGCAAGACUGCUAACAGCAACAAGGAUGUGAGAUACUCUUCAGAAGAUUUUUUCCAGAAUCUAUUAUCUUUGGAAAUUUUCUGAAUCAGUAAUAAGUGCAUAUAUACAAAACUCAGGAAAUCCAAAAGAUAUGCCUCAUUAAAAGUGUUCUUCCUCAAUUGAUUCUUCAGAUUUUUUAUUCUCCUGUUCAGUGUUUAGUUCCAGUUUUUCAGUAAUGGAUAUCAUGAAUUCAGAAUAGCAUUAGUAUCUUUGUACAUAUAUGUACGUCUUACUAUAUUUUCAUUGUUUUCUUAAGGUAGUCUCAGAAAUUAAAAUUAACUGUGCUAUGAUUUUUUAAACUUUCCUUCCAAAAUAGUUUCAGCACUUUACAAUGCCAUUGUAAAUAUAUGAAGAUAAUAUUUUCACUAAACUCUCAACAUACCAGAAUGUCAACUUUUCUCUUUUUAGUUUUGUUACCAAAAGUUCAGUCUCUGAUCCCAAUGCCAAUGCAAAUAACAAAAACAGAGUCUUGGGUGAAAAAGGAAGGUGUUAUUUUGCCUGGCAGAGGGAGCAAAGCAAGGGCUAGUGCCCCAAAAGUUGCUUGCUCCCCAUUAAGAAAUGGGUAGAGGCUUUUAUCUGGGGUUUCAGGUAGAGGAGGGGGACCAUGGACUUCUUGGUCAGCAUUUUCCCAUCAGCCUGUGUCUGGGGCUGCUUCCAACGGAGGAGACAAAGGAUUUCUCAGAUGAGUGUCCUUGGCUGUUUAUCUCCACGGUGGAAGGUAGACUCUGAUGUCAGGAAGCUGAGGGGUUGGGCCUGGGAAGCUUCAGUUUCUUGAUAUUCUCUGGACGUUAGUUUCUCUGUGAAAGGACUUCAAGUUCCUGGGAUCAGCCACAACUUUAGUGGGAGCCCAGCCUGAGGCCAUCUGGACUUAAACAAUUUGUAACUUCUGUUUGGUUGUAAGGCUCAGGGGGUCAGAGGUUAAAGAAACAAACAUUUACAUGUGAGUGGAACUAAAGACCCAGGGAACUGGAAUGUGUGCCUUUAGUUUUAACCCAUGUAUGGGGGCUUCACUGUAGGGGAACCAAUAUCAGGGCUGGUAUUAACUAAGAGCCAGUAACAGUUUGACAUGGGGAGUUGAAUUGAACAUCUCCAAGAGUGUGUUUGAAAGACAAUUAGGUGCCCGCAUUUAUGUCCCAGGUUUUUGUUUUGUCAAAAGUUGUUCAACUUUAACCGUUUUGAAAGGUAUGUAUAAGUAGAUAAUGUUGAAGAGGAGGUAUUGAAGGAGAGCAGAGCCCUCCUUCCUGAUGAGUCUUAGGGGAGGGAAGUUAUUUGGGAGGAUAGAAAAGCAAAAGCAGCUGCUGAGAGGGACAACUUUUGGAGAAAAAAUAUUAAAGACAAUCUUUCAGAUGUUUCACUGUCUGAUAUAACCCCUUCCCCAAGAGAACUUAAGUAAAUAUAUAAAAUGAUUAUCGACGUUUUUGGAGAUAAAUUCCGGGUUGUUUGUUUUUGUGGAAAUGUGGAACUAGCCACUGUAGGAGAGGAACGCUGGCCUGAGGCGACCAAAUUUCUCUUGGUUUGGACUAAUUAGUAGGCAGGGAAAGAAUUCAUGCUUGCCUUUAUUUUCAUUUGUCCUCAGUGGUCAUAUCAUUGCUCAUUUAUGUAUUCAAAUAUUAGUACUUUUCUUAUUUUGUUUAAAUGUUUAUAAUAAAGAUAUUAACCAUAUAACA
rnacentral:lncRNA from 1 species